UGGGGAAUAUUGGACAAUGGGGGCAACCCUGAUCCAGCAAUGCCGCGUGUGUGAAGAAGGUCUUCGGAUUGUAAAGCACUUUCGACGGGGACGAUGAUGACGGUACCCGUAGAAGAAGCCCCGGCUAACUUCGUGCCAGCAGCCGCGGUAAUACGAAGGGGGCUAGCGUUGCUCGGAAUGACUGGGCGUAAAGGGCGUGUAGGCGGUUUACACAGUCAGAUGUGAAAUCCCCGGGCUUAACCUGGGAGCUGCAUUUGAUACGUGUAGACUAGAGUGUGAGAGAGGGUUGUGGAAUUCCCAGUGUAGAGGUGAAAUUCGUAGAUAUUGGGAAGAACACCGGUGGCGAAGGCGGCAACCUGGCUCAUGACUGACGCUGAGGCGCGAAAGCGUGGGGAGCAAACAGGAUUAGAUACCCUGGUAGUCCACGCUGUAAACGAUGUGUGCUAGAUGUUGGGUAACUUUGUUAUUCAGUGUCGCAGUU
rnacentral:rRNA from 1 species